UGCUCCAUGGUUAGGUUGGGUAGACUAGUUGAAGUUGAUAGUGAUCAAAUCGAGGCAGUAAUUGAGAACAAUCAAUGUUCUCCCAUGUGGGAGAUAGGCGACAUAGUCAAUGUCCAAAUCAACAAAGUUAUUGGUAAAAAUGAAAAAUGUGUCUUCUAUUUUAUGGAAAAAA